rnacentral:lncRNA from 1 species
CAUCCCAGACAUAAAUCCAAGGUAUCCAUGAUACCAUCAUAACACUAUCCCCUACUUCUGAAUCUGAGAAUCAGACAAAAGGAGUACUGCUGAUAUGAUGCCUCGGGCCUAAGGACAUCCAUCUUUGCUCUGCUCUUCAUGCGAGCGGCAUCUUAUGCACUCCUCAUCUUGUGGGCGGCAUCUGUCUUCAUGCGAGUAGCAUCUUGUGCUUAGCUCAUCUUGUGAGUGGCAGUGUGUGCACUUCUCAUAAUGCGAGAGGCAGCUUAUGCACUACUCAUCUUAUGAGUGGCAGCGUAUGCACUUCUCAUAAUGCGAGAGGCAGCUUGUGCACAGCUUAUUUUUAUACGAGAGACAGCAUGUGCCCGUAGGCAGCAUAUGCACUUCUCAUCUUCAUGCGAGAGGCAACAUAUGCCCGUAGG